GUGAAGGAGCAUACUCAACAAUAGUUUUGAACUGAGUGCCUUUCUCGUUUACAAAAACGUGUCCAUCAAAGAACUCCGCAAACUCGAUAACAUCUUCUGGCCUCUUAAAUUCAAUAUAGGCUCUUGAAUAAGUUUGAUGCUUCUGACUGGACUUGCCGGGUAGAAAACAGAACCAGUUGUAUCGACCAGCGAAUCGGGAAUCAACUUGGUCAAGAAGCAUGGACUGAGAAAUUGUCGGCGGCAAGUGCCGCAGCACUACUUUUGAUCGAUCUAACGGCCCCUUCAUGCGAAUACUUUUUCCUUUGAUCUUUUACACCAAGAAAAAGAAAAUAAAGAAAAUUAGAAAUCACAAAUUCACAUCUCCCCUUAGAGCUUCCACAACAUCGAUUGACGAAAUUCACAAUUGUUUUGCCCUAAUUUUUCCAAUUUCAUUGCGAAUGUUCAUGCAUGAGAAAAC
rnacentral:misc_RNA from 1 species